CUAGCUACCGCCUUAUCAAACCAGACAGUUUUGGAAAGAAAAAGUCACAGCUAGACAGCUUAAAAUAAAGUUUUUAGCCGUCAGUCAGCUACAGGUGUGGCAGCUGUAAGUUGGAUCAUGUUGUUGAGUAGCAGGCUAACCGGGUCCCUGAUCUGAAUCGCUUCCGGAGUCUGAGCUGUCCGGGGACGAGGAGGAUGAAGAGGACGAAGAGGAGGACGAGGAGCUGUCGUCGUCGUCACUGUCGCUGCUGACGUCGUCGGAAGAGGAGCUGGAGGAGUCGCUGCUGUCUGAUGAGUCAUUAGAAGAGCUGUCCGAAUCGCUGCUGCUCUCGCCGGCGUCUUUCGCCCUGAGUGUCAAAACAAAAGAAGGUUUAAAAAACAAGGUACUACUGGAAUUACAAGCUGGGAGGAGGUUACAGACACUUGUGCACAAGAAAUAAUACAAUAUGAAUUAAACAUGGUAUAUAAAUAAAGUGGAUUGGAUUGUUUACAGCUUCACUAAAAUUGACCGAACAGUGUACUGUAGUGAUGCCUUCAGUAGGAAUGGAAGUAAAUUCCACUAACAUAAGCGAUAGAAAAUGGAUGUGCAGCUGUGGUGAAUUCCAAGCCCAAGAGUAUUAAAAGCCGGGCUUGUGCUCCUAACGUAGCUAUCACGCUGUUAUACAAUCCCUGGGGAAAUGAUGGAAUCCCCAGACUUGGAGAAUGUUUAUCCCGUUUAAUUUUGUAGGAAAAAAAAAGCAGAUAAACAUGACACGAAACUACAGUCAUUUCAAAUUGAAUCUUUCUGUCUUAAAAAAAACACAAA